UACGGAGGGGGCUAGCGUUGUUCGGAAUUACUGGGCGUAAAGCGUGCGCAGGCGGUUUGCUAAGACCGAUGUGAAAUCCCCGGGCUUAACCUGGGAAUUGCGCUUGAAACUAGCGGGCUUGAGUGUGGCAGAGGGGGGUGGAAUUCCACGUGUAGCAGUGAAAUGCGUAGAGAUGUGGAGGAACACCGAUGGCGAAGGCAGCCCCCUGGGUCAACACUGACGCUCAUGCACGAAAGCGUGGGGAGCAAACAGG
rnacentral:rRNA from 1 species